AAUAUUGCGCAAUGGAGGGAACUCUGACGCAGCGACGCCGCGUGAGCGAUGAAGGUUUUCGGAUCGUAACGCUCUGUCCUUGGGGAAGAAGGUCUUCGGACUUGACGGUACCUAAGGAGGAAGCCCCGGCUAACUACGUGCCAGCAGCCGCGGUAAUACGGAGGGGGCUAGCGUUGUUCGGAAUCACUGGGCGUAAAGCGCGCGUAGGCGGGCAUCUAAGUCAGGGGUGAAAUCCCGAGGCUCAACCUCGGAACUGCCUUUGAUACUGGGUGUCUUGAGUCCGGGAGAGGUGAGUGGAAUUCCUAGUGUAGAGGUGAAAUUCGUAGAUAUUAGGAGGAACACCAGUGGCGAAGGCGGCUCACUGGCCCGGUACUGACGCUGAGGUGCGAAAGCGUGGGGAGCAAAC
rnacentral:rRNA from 1 species